rnacentral:lncRNA from 1 species
UUAGAGUAUACUAGAGACAAUUAGCAUUACAUUCAUCCUUAAGCAGUACAAGAAUUUAGGAACUUGGAUAAAUAUAGUUCUCCUAAAAAGGAUAGGAAUUUAAAACUUUAAACAUAACAAAUAAAGUUCUUCAAAAUAUCUAAGACUAAGAAAAGUAAAGUCUAAUGAACUAGACAGCGACAUUUCCAUCUCCAUUAAGAGUUGUUCCCAAGGUAUCCUCCACGCCAUCUGCUCUCAUCCAAGUGGAUGAUCAUCGCAAGGAAAAUAGAAGCAAACAUGGCACAAACACAAGCAAAUGCAAGGGUGAGCUAAUUAUAUCAAAAGCAUGCAAAUACAUCAACAUAUACAUAUCAGAUUUAACUUAAGUAAAAUACAUACAAGUAAGACAAUUUAUAACAUAGACCCUAGCAUGUUAUAUUCUAGACUUGACUCGUCCAGACUUUAGAAUGAUAGUCGAGUUAUGACGGGUCGUGCACCCGUGGUGGCUUGUGAUACUUAGGCUCCCCCGCCUUGGGCUCCCCCGCCCUGCCACACUCACGAGGUUAGUCUGUUCCGCGUCCUGGAGCAUGAUGGAAGCCUCCAAGAUUAAGACCUCCUGCUACUCCUCACCACAUGGUUCAACCCUCUCUACGUGAGAGGAAAGACCAUUGGAGCGUCAAGAAGACCCCCAAGACUGAGCUCCUACUUUCAUUCUAAAACACUAAGAAUCUCACUGAAAGAUUUCACAAUUAAACCACCACCCUUGAAACCAUGUUUAUUUCUUUCCCAAUUCAUAUACCUUUAUGAUCACAUACUUUUGAUACCACCAUAACCAUUUAUAGUGUCGUGCAAUCAACUUUAAAUCACGCUUCAUAAGAAAUCAACAAUAUCGUACUUACAUAACUAAACGGAAACUCGAAUGUAAUAAACAUUCUUAAUACAAUAACAAAACAAUUAAUAUUAUUAAACUAGUGACAAGUCAACCACAACCUCCAAAAAUAGUCAACCAAAAUAAGAUGUAAGAGGUAUAUAUACUACAUACAACCCCUUUCUAAUAACUAACACCCAAAACUACUAAGAUAAAUUAAAUAAUAUAUAUAUAUAACCUAAGUGGACCCCUCCUCCCCUUUUCUCCAACAACUUUUACGUACAUCACCAACCCUUACUCUUACUUUUCUUUUCCUAUGUGGGACCUACACCAUUCCAUGGCUAUAAUAUAAAAUAUUAAAAUAAACACUUCCUAUUUCUACUAUUCACGUGGAAACCAAACCUUUAACCGUAGAAAAGUUAACUUUCUUCUCCUAUUUUUCUCUCUUCAACUACUCUCUCUUUCUUCAUUUUAUUUUUACUCACUAAACAAUUACUCUCACCUCAUGAAAGAUACCCUCACUUCUCUCACCUAAUCCUUCACGCACACACCUUUAUUAUAUAUUCCCUCACAACCCCAUUCUAUCUUCCUCUGCAACUAUUUAUAUCUUCUACUACACCCAAUUCUAACUUAUAUUAUUUUUAUUAUUCAAUAACUCCAAGGUGGGACCAUGCCUUCUCUCUCCUUUUUUUUUAUUUAUUCAUAAUAUAUACACUUUUCUUACUCCUUUCUCACUAAAACAACGCUCACAAUGUGCCCAUGCACAACCUCCAUUUUCAAUUUAUGAUUUUCUCACUCAAUAUUCUACUUCACAUACACAAGUAAUAAUUAAACCAUCCCCUCCCCUGCAGAUCACUCUUGCCUCUCCAUCACAUGCCGAAGCUUCACCCCUUUCUCUCAUUUAUUUCGGUCAUACACACACAACCCCAAAUAACUAUUACAUUCACUCUCUUUUUAUUUAAUCUUCUACUGCAACUCCAACUCUAUCUACUGUUUUCCCUCCCCUUAGAUUCACCUAGGUUUCUUCUCUAGACAACUUCAUUCUCUAUUCCCCUAUGUUCACAUUCAACAAUACUAUUGUGUUGUCUUAGGUUCGUAAAACCCCUGCACAAACCUUCUUCACAGCAUAUUCUUCUUCAUGCAACUACUUCAUAAUUUGAACUCUUCUUCACAAUAAACCUACAACCCUUUCACCCGUUCUUGCUCUAUUCUACUUGUCUCUAAUUCGUUCCUCCCAUUUUGCUACUUCCAUGAACCCUUCUCAUUGUGCAUCCAGGACGUCAAACAACCCCAUUCAAUACAUAUUUCACAAGCUGAAAAUACACGAGCAGAGCACGAAUACAUCCAUACAUAUAUAUAUAUAUAUAUAUAUAUAUAUAUAUAUAUAUAUAUAUAUAUAUAAACAGCAAAUCAUCGUACACAACAAUAAUUCUAGGUUACUCCCCUUACACAUAUACCCAUUCACAUAAUUUACAUGUAUAAUUACAGUAUCAUAACGCAUAGCACUCAAACACAAAAUGUGACAUUUAAGACAAACAAAAAUACUGUUUCAAAAAUCAACUCACACACGUAUCAAACAAACCAUUUAAAUAUAUAAUCAGCUCCCCUUACCUCUAUGAUCUUCACAGUACAGCUCAAUAGAAAAAUUCCCUAAUCGUACCUCCACACAGAGGCAACUCCACAGUAUCUAUAAGCCACCAAAAUGGUGUAGAGUAAAGCCCUUAGAGCUUGAAAAGAUAAGGAAAAAGAGUAAAACCCUAGGGUGCAGAGAAUGGGAAAAUUACCUUAUCAAUUGAGAUAUGCGAAACUAAUCGGAGGAAUUGAAAGCCCUCGACUUUGGGAACGUAGGAGCACCACCUAUUUGACAAAGCAACGGUGGAAAUUUGAGAAAGGGGUACAGAGAAAGUGAAGCAAGGUUAGAGAGAAGGUAAAGAAAAUAAGAAAUUUGAGUUCUAGAGAGAGAAGGGGGUUUGGCUAAUGAAAUCUGAUUUUC